UUCCUCUUAUCCACGGAUGAUCCUCGCCCAAAUUUCUCGGAGGUGAUAGGGGCUGGGUCGCACAUGCUCGUUUAGAUCGGGAACGACCAGCCUGCUCCGUGAGGUCGUGGACGGCGAGGCUGCGUAUGUAGGGAAGAGGAGCAAGCCAGGAGGUCGCUGAUGAGGUUCGCCGACCGGACAAGGGAAAGGGCGCCGAUCUCCCUCCUCGUGUUCCCAGUCGUCGGCGCGGCAACCAUCACAUCAACCAAAUCUUCUGCCAGGGUCGCCAGUCGACGUCAAGCAGCAGAUGACGCGCAAGCCGUCCUUCCCUUUCUUCCGUGCGGCUCUACCCUGUCCCGACUUCUCCUCGCCGCGCCGCCGUCCACUCGACCAUAGCUCGCCCCCCGUCCACAAAGGAGACAACUAGCAGCAGCGCCCCAAAUCGAGGGAGGGAGGAUCCUCUCAGGUGAGAUUUUAUCUCUCGAAUGUGAUGUCCCAUCUCUUGGUUAGUUGCUUUGUUUGGAUGAUUUCAGGGCUUGAUGUGCGCUGCGAUUUAGGAGUAUUUGGUAGUAUGAACUCUAGCAUAGGGAAUAGAUCUGGAAUGAUGGGUUUAAUAACCAUAGGAGAUGGAUGAUGCCUUUGUGCAGUACUAGGAAUCAAAAGGAUCUGGGAUGAUCGAGGGAUUUGGGUGUGAACGGUGACGAGGCAACACAACAAUUUCAUGUGUUCGUUAUAACUUUAAAUAGUCUAAACAACAAUUUCUAUGAACUAAGAUGAACCAUAAAGCUACUAAACUUAUAACAAUUGGCUUCAUCUCGCAAAAAAUUGCAGUCAACUAACAAAUUGAUGGUAAGACCAGAAGAAUAUAACUGAAGAAAUAUAUAGCAUUAUAAGUGAAAGACAAACAGACUUAUCAUCAGUUAAGUGACAUAUUAACUUUUCAUCAGUGAGGUACAACAUUCUCUACAUACAGUGCUUUUUUUUCUUGAGUAUACCAGUUCAAUAAUGAACGAUUGAUUCACUCGGCUCAGUUUCUUGUGGGUUCCCGGUGAUCUGUGCACAUGAGAGCCUCCUUGGGUUUGCCCUGGGCUCGGUCUGCAUGCGUGGUUUCGUCCUCCACCAGCGCAACUUCGACUCGAGUAGGAUAAGGGGGUGCAUCUUGUUUGAUUCACAGCGAGAUGAUGUACUCAGAAAAGAUGGAGGCCAGCGACAAGUGUGAUAAGCGGUCAGAGAAUCGAUCGUUAAGUUGGUUUGUCAUAAAUUCUACUACAUUUUCCCUUCUUUCUGUACUUACUUCUUUCUCUCUGAUUGAUCGAUGUGCUAUGCAAAUUUGUUUGAUAUAUGAAUUAAUUUAAGUUUUGUACAUGUUUGCAUCAUACUUAAUGUUAUUCCCUAUUGAAUUAGCAAGAUUUAGGAAGUCAUUUGAUGGAGAGGUAAAUGAAGUGAGAAGGAGGAAGAGCACACACUAAGUUUAUGAUGACACUAAUAAGAAACCAGAGUUUGCUGUAGGUAUGACCUUUAAUGAUAGCAGGGAAUUCAAGCAAGCAUUGUUUAAGUAUGGGCUAGCAAAUUUCCACCAUUUAAGAUUUCCAAAAGAUGAGAAGAAAAGGCUGCCUGUAGGGGAUCGGAGGACCCAAACUGCAGCGACCUCGCCUCGAUGAAGAAGCCCGUGACGAGCCCGGCAGAAGAAAGGAUAAACGGCGGCGGCAGUUGGUUCGGUUGAAACCUGUUCGGGGCCAUGUCCGAGGUGGCCUGUUUGUGGGCUCAACUCAGGCGACAGGUAAGCAAAACAGCCUUCCCAUACCGCUAAACUGAAGGCUGGGGGUGUUUUGCCCGGUUUGGAAUAGUUUAGGGGAUUAAGAACUCAGUAAUCUUUAGAUAAAGGAACUAUGUAUCAAGUCUAAUGUAAAGCAGAAAUUCAUGCAAAUCUGUGCAAGGUGCAACAUCAAUUGCAAGGUCUUAGAAAAAGAAA